rnacentral:rRNA from 1 species
GAUGAACGCUGGCGGCGUGCCUAAUGCAUGCAAGUCGAGCGAACGGACGAGAAGCUUGCUUCUCUGAUGUUAGCGGCGGACGGGUGAGCAACACGUGGAUAACCUACCUAUAAGACUGGGAUAACUUCGGGAAACCGUAGCUAAUACCGGAUAAUAUUUUGAACCGCAUGGUUCAAAAGUGAAAGACGGUCUUGCUGUCACUUAUAGAUGGAUCCGCGCUGCAUUAGCUAGUUGGUAAGGUAACGGCUUACCAAGGCAACGAUGCAUAGCCGACCUGAGAGGGUGAUCGGCCACACUGGAACUGAGACACGGUCCAGACUCCUACGGGAGGCAGCAGUAGGGAAUCUUCCGCAAUGGGCGAAAGCCUGACGGAGCAACGCCGCGUGAGUGAUGAAGGUCUUCGGAUCGUAAAACUCUGUUAUUAGGGAAGAACAUAUGUGUAAGUAACUGUGCACAUCUUGACGGUACCUAAUCAGAAAGCCACGGCUAACUACGUG